GUGGGAGCUGAGGUCACAAUGAUGGCCAGGGACCAGACUCUCAGUACAUGAACAGCCAUCGCAGGACCGAGGCACCAACUCGGCAUGAUGUAGAUGAGGUGGUUUAGUUUCCUAAAGGCCAUGCUCCCUGGCUGCUGUGUUCCAAAGACAUUUCCAAGAGACUCAAUGGGAAUCAGGGAGUGCAGUAGGGCCACUGCAUUAUUCCUACCACAGAGAUGGUGUAGGUUGUGGAAAACUGGAUUUUCUUUUUAGGUGGUGUGAAGAACACAGCUGAUUGUGGCAUGUGAGAGAAAGAGAAGUCAGGGUUGUUUUCGCUGAAAGGAGAAUGUAUUAUUCAGAAGUGGACAAGGGCAGAAUUACCCUGGAGUUCCUGUCUGGAUAUUGCAUAAUGCAUUUAAAAUAAAGAUAAAAGCCAAGGAAAACAGUGUGUGCCUGCAACCUCAGCCACUAGGAGGCUCAUGCAGGAAGAUUGCACAUUGUGAGAAGUUACAAGCAAUGGUCUUCCUAGGUGGUAGGAUGAUGAGAGAGAGAGGAGUCAAGACCCUGGGCCUUCCAUCAACCUCCAGAGGAACAGGUGUGAGAAGGAGCAUCAAGGCUGGAGGAAAGCAGAGACAAUGGCAUCCUGGGAAGCAGGUUUCUUGUGAGGCUCCCAUCUCAUGGGAGCACAUAGAAGGAAAGAGCAAGUGGACCCCCUGGAGCACCUCUGUGCAGUUAGCAGCCAGCUGCAUCCUCCUGCUCACCAUUUUAGAGAUGUUUAAACGCCCAGAGCCAGGGAGGCUGUGAAGGCUCCCCACCACCUAAUCUGGGAGGGAGAAAGAAAAUGGCAAGUGACUCCAUCAAGAAGAUGCUAAGCACAAAAUGAAUGACAAAGAGAAAUACUCCAGGACAGAUCCCACAGAAGCACAAGACCUGAGAGGCUGGGGCACUUCUGGAGUGGUGGGUCUCCACCUGGGCUGCAUGGGAGCAUUGUCUGAGUGGCCUAAAAAAUGUACCAACACUGAAUCCCCCUCCCAAACACCUGGACCCAACUGGCUUGGAAGAGAGUCUGGGCAUCUGUAUCUCUUGAGUUCUCCUGGUUGAUUCCAGCAUCAGCCAGGGGCAUCCACUGAGUUGGAGGAAGGAGUUUCAACAGUUGGACCAGUUCACUUCCAAUGUGUGAGUCUGAACCAGGCCUGGAGGGAAAUAUGCCUGAUGUUUCUCUUCCAGAGAACCCUGGGUCUCUGCCUUGGGCUCCAUGAUCAGCAAUA
rnacentral:lncRNA from 1 species